CCUACGGGAGGCAGCAGUGGGGGAUAUUGCACAAUGGGGGGAACCCUGAUGCAGCGACGCCGCGUGGGUGAAGGAGCGCCUCGGCGCGUAAAGCCCUGUCAGCAGGGAAGAAAAUGACGGUACCUGAAGAAGAAGCCCCCGCUAACUACGUGCCAGCAGCCGCGGUAAUACGUAGGGGGCAAGUGUUAUCCGGAUUUACUGGGGGGAAAGGGGGCGGAGACGGCGAUUCAAGCCAGGAGUGAAAGCCCGGGGCCCAACCCCGGGACUGCUCUUGGAACUGCCUGGCUGGAGUGCAGGAGGGGCAGGCGGAAUUCCUGGUGUAGCGGUGAAAUGCGUAGAUAUCAGGAGGAACACCGGUGGCGAAGGCGGCCUGCUGGACUGCAACUGACGUUGAGGCCCGAAAGCGUGGGGAGCGAACAGGAUUAGAUACCCUUGUAGUC
rnacentral:rRNA from 1 species